rnacentral:rRNA from 1 species
AGUGAACGCUGGCGGUAGGCCUAACACAUGCAAGUCGAACGGCAGCACAGUAAGAGCUUGCUCUUACGGGUGGCGAGUGACGGACGGGUGAGGAAUACAUCGGAAUCUACUUUUUCGUGGGGGAUAACGUAGGGAAACUUACGCUAAUACCGCAUACGACCUACGGGUGAAAGCAGGGGAUCUUCGGACCUUGCGCGAUUGAAUGAGCCGAUGUCGGAUUAGCUAGUUGGCGGGGUAAAGGCCCACCAAGGCGACGAUCCGUAGCUGGUCUGAGAGGAUGAUCAGCCACACUGGAACUGAGACACGGUCCAGACUCCUACGGGAGGCAGCAGUGGGGAAUAUUGGACAAUGGGCGCAAGCCUGAUCCAGCCAUACCGCGUGGGUGAAGAAGGCCUUCGGGUUGUAAAGCCCUUUUGUUGGGAAAGAAAAGCAGCAGGUUAAUACCCCGCUGUUCUGACGGUACCCAAAGAACAAGCACCGGCUAACUUCGUG